CGAUGAAAGCAGGAGCUUGCUUUUGCUGGAUUAGUGGCGAACGGGUGAGUAACACGUGAGUAACCUGCCCUUGACUCUGGGAUAAGCGUUGGAAACGACGUCUAAUACCGGAUACGAGCUAGGACCGCAUGGUCACUAGUUGGAAAGAAUUUCGGUCAAGGAUGGACUCGCGGCCUAUCAGCUAGUUGGUGAGGUAACGGCCCACCAAGGCGACGACGGGUAGCCGGCCUGAGAGGGUGACCGGCCACACUGGGACUGAGACACGGCCCAGACUCCUACGGGAGGCAGCAGUGGGGAAUAUUGCACAAUGGGCGCAAGCCUGAUGCAGCAACGCCGCGUGAGGGACGACGGCCUUCGGGUUGUAAACCUCUUUUAGCAGGGAAGAAGCGAAAGUGACGGUACCUGCAGAAAAGGCACCGGCUAACUACGUGCCAGCAGCCGCGGUAAU
rnacentral:rRNA from 1 species